CUGUUAUUUGCUAUUUAAUUUGUACACACCCACACCCACUAAGAGGAUGAGGAGGCAGAUUUUGUUUGUUAUGACAGAAACUCCUUAAGGAUCCAAGAGAUUAAUAAAAGAUUGGAGGCUCACAGAGAAAAAGUCAAACACAAUUCUGAUGGACAACAGAGGAACCGUUUGGCCUGAUACAGCACAGUGAUUUAAUUAGCAUAGUGUGGAGGAGAAGUUAAGCCUCUUAUUGAUAGCUAGUCGCAUCAAGCCAGCAACACCAUCUGUAAAUGGGAAUAUGUGGCGUUUGGCAGGGUCUAGAUCCUAAAGGAGGGGUAGAACCAGACAGAGCCACACAUCCAUCCUCAGUGAAACAAACCUGACAGCAUAGCAGCAGUGCAGAUCCACACCCCACAGAAGACAAGGCAGAAGGAGUGGUGUCCAGAAAUUAGAAAGGAAAAAGGUUCAAGGUCUUGGAAUAAGCUUCUGGGAUGCUGAUCUAGCACUAACCCUGAACUCUGACCUUCCAAAUCAAGAAGGAGGGAAAUGAAAAGAAUAGCAACCCACGUGGAGCAUCAGAGCAUCAUGUUAGAGAUACAGUAUGGGCUGUCAGCUAAACAGGUAACAGGCCAUUUAUGUCAGCCAGAAAGAAUCACACAAACAGGUAGAUAUCCUGUCAGGUUGAUACAUCAGCAGUCAUGACAACAAAAACCAGAGGAGGGGAGGGGGAGUCUAUUUUCUAUUUAUAUCUCAAACAUACAGGUAGAUGUGCCGCAAACAGCAUACUCCCUCUCUCUCCUCCACACUGGUUUGUUUGGGCUAUAAAUAGACCUCCACUGCUGCGGACAUCCACUGAAUCAAUCUGUCUGUAUCCAUUUAUCCAUCAACCUGCCUGCUUGUUUUCCUGUCGGAUUGUAUUUCCAUAUAGCCUGUCUCUCUCGCUCUCUCUCUCUGUUAGUCAAAACACAGUGUCUCUGUGUUUUCUGGAUUCUUGACAGACGGGCAAAGCAACAGCUGUAACGAUUCUGCAGCGACUCCUGAACACAACAACAAACCAAAUAACACACAUUCCUCCCACACCCAUUCCCAUGUGCACACAGACUCUUCACACACACACAUUCUCGUCUACUGCUGAUAUGAAACGGCUGUUGUUUUUGUUUUUUGUUUUCUUGGAGCCUUAAUAUUCAUACAAACACUUGAUGGUGCAACUGUGAUG